rnacentral:rRNA from 1 species
AGUGGCAGACGGGUGAGUAACAUGUAGGUAUCUACCCUUUGGCCUGGAAUAACACGAGGAAACUUGUGCUAAUACCGGAUAAGUCUUUACGGAGAAAGCUUUAUGCACCAUUGGAUGAGCCUGCACUUGAUUAGGUUGUUGGUGGGGUAAUGGCCUACCAAGACUGUGAUCAAUAGCUGAUUUGAGAGGAUGAUCAGCCACAUUGGGACUGAGACACGGCCCAAACUCCUACGGGAGGCAGCAGUGGGGAAUCUUGCACAAUGGGGGAAACUCUGAUGCAGCGAUGCCGCGUGAGUGAAGAAGGCCUUUGGGUUGUAAAGCUCUUUCGUCGGGGAAGAAAAUGACUGUACCCGAAUAAGAAGGUCCGGCUAACUUCGUGCCAGCAGCCGCGGUAAUACGAAGGGACCUAGCGUAGUUCGGAAUUACUGGGCUUAAAGAGUUCGUAGGUGGUUGAAAAAGUUAGUGGUGAAAUCCCAGAGCUUAACUCUGGAACUGCCAUUAAAACUUUUCAGCUAGAGUAUGAUAGAGGAAAGCAGAAUUUCUAGUGUAGAGGUGAAAUUCGUAGAUAUUAGAAAGAAUACCAAUUGCGAAGGCAGCUUUCUGGAUCAUUACUGACACUGAGGAACGAAAGCAUGGGUAGCGAAGAGGAUUAGAUACCCUCGUAGUCCAUGCCGUAAACGAUGUGUGUUAGACGUUGGAAAUUUAUUUUCAGUGUCGCAGCGAAAGCGAUAAACACACCGCCUGGGGAGUACGACCGCAAGGUUAAAACUCAAAUGAAUUGACGGGGACCCGCACAAGUAGUGGAGCAUGUGGUUUAAUUCGAAGAUACGCGCAGAACCUUACCAACACUUGACAUGUUCGUCGCGACUCUAAGAGAUUAGAGUUUUCGGUUCGGCCGGACGAAACACAGGUGCUGCAUGGCUGUCGUCAGCUCGUGUCGUGAGAUGUUGGGUUAAGUCCCGCAACGAGCGCAACCCUCACUUUUAGUUGCCAUCAUUUAGUUGGGCACUCUGAAAGAACUGCCAGUGAUAAGCUGGAGGAAGGUGGGGAUGACGUCAAGUCCUCAUGGCCCUUACGUGUUGGGCUACACACGUGCUACAAUGGUAUCUACAACAGGAAGCAAGACUGCGAGGUCAAGCAAAUCCUUAAAAGAUACCUCAGUUCGGAUUGCACUCUGCAACUCGAGUGCAUGAAGCUGGAAUUACUAGUAAUCGUGGAUCAGCGUGCCACGGUGAAUGCGUUCCCGGGUCUUGUACACACCGCCCGUCA